rnacentral:rRNA from 1 species
UACGGAGGGAGCUAGCGUUGUUCGGAAUUACUGGGCGUAAAGCGCACGUAGGCGGCUAUUCAAGUCGGGGGUGAAAGCCCGGGGCUCAACCCCGGAACUGCCCUCGAAACUAGAUAGCUAGAAUCUUGGAGAGGCGAGUGGAAUUCCGAGUGUAGAGGUGAAAUUCGUAGAUAUUCGGAAGAACACCAGUGGCGAAGGCGACUCGCUGGACAAGUAUUGACGCUGAGGUGCGAAAGCGUGGGGGAGCAAACAGG